UACGUAGGGUGCAAGCGUUAUCCGGAAUUAUUGGGCGUAAAGAGCUCGUAGGCGGUUUGUCGCGUCUGCCGUGAAAGUCCGGGGCUCAACUCCGGAUCUGCGGUGGGUACGGGCAGACUAGAGUGAUGUAGGGGGAGACUGGAAUUCCUGGUGUAGCGGGUGAAAAUGCGCAGAUAUCAGGGAGGGAACACCCGGGUGGGCG
rnacentral:rRNA from 1 species